rnacentral:misc_RNA from 1 species
CUUAGCAAUUUAAAAAGAAAUAAUUGGACUUAAGCAAAUCACAAGGGGAAAAAAAUGAGAAAGACGACAGAUUUCUUGUUCAAGGAAGACAUCUGUUUGAAGUAUGUAAAACCAUCUUCAACAUGGCAUUAGCUCUUGAUGCUCCCAAAGAACCUAGAAAGUGGCACAGGACCAUCCGCCUCUUCAUCGUUACUGUUGGAGUGCUUGGAUCUUGACCUAUGCCUCUUUUCCUUCUUUGUUCUCUUUGACCUGGACUUUGAUCUUCUUGAUUCUCUCUCCUCAUCAUCACUACUCGAAGAAUCCGAAGAUGAACUUGAUGAGCUAGAAUCUGAUGAUCUCUGCCUUGAAUGCUGUAAAGCCAAUGUUAAAUAAGCUUCAAGUUUAAAUGCUUUCAAAACAACAUUCAUAGUAAGGAAGUUGAAAUAAAAAAGAAGGCUCUGCUUGAAAUAAAGAAUCUGAAUGACUGCACACUAGUGCCCAAGUCACAUACCUAGUAAUAUCACCAUUUCAAUUUUGAUGCCCAUCUUCGGAACAAACUUUAAUUGCACCAUUGAGCUUAACUUAUUCAUUCAAGUCUCAUUUUGUUCAUGAAGUAUAACCCAGGGGUCCCGAGUAUGUUAUAUGGGAUCUUAAAGCACCAAUUUUAAAACAAAGGUUUGAGAAUCAAUAAUAGUUUAUGUGCACAACAAUCUAGGAAUGAAUAUACACGAUCCAGCUAAGUGUAAGAAUAUAAAAAUAAAAAAUAAAAAGGAAACCACCAAUCAUUCACCUAGGUCUCUAACCCUCACCCCGUAGUGGUUCAUCAAUACUUCAAAAAGUAGAGCACUUGGCAGGGCCAAAAUGUUCAAUUUAUUAUUCCAUCAAAUGGAUGCUGACCUACCAUUUUAUUACCCAAUCUCAGCUUUACAUCAACAACUAAAAAUAAUAAAACAUUAACUAUAGAAUUUGAAUUUGAUUUUCCAAUUCAAAGGGCAUUACUCUUAAAAAAACACAAGACGGGGAGAAAAAAAAAUGCUAAAAACAUGAUGCAAUCCAAAGAUUCAGUCGGUUAAAUGUCAUCCACAGCAAAGCUCCACUCACCUCAAACCUGACGCAAGAUUUCAUGUAUGUUUGAAAUUGAUGUCAGGAAACUACUGAUCUAAAAGGAGCUUCUUAAAUUCGUAUUGUGAAGUACAUUAACCCACAGGUAUACUCCCCAAAUUGAAAUAUGAGGAUGUGCCAUAUUUUGUCUUCUUCAGGCGGCAAGUGCUGAUAAAUUCUUGAAGCAAUUAUUAUAAAAACAAGCAAUUUUUCUUUGCAAAUGAGAAUUAUUUCUCACAUAUCAUAGGCACAAGGCAGACCAAUUACCAUAAGGCAUUAGUUUCUGAUCAGCAGAUUACACACACGUAAUUUCAAUGGGGAGUAGGGAACCUAGCCUAAAGAAUGAGUAAACUACAUUUAAUUAUCAAUAAAAAGAUAUAAAGAAGUACCAAGUUCAGCAUCAUAAAUUUCAGUCAAAUAUAAAAUGCAUUAUUCUAGGGAAAAAAAAAAACGCUAAAUUAGUAAAACUAUUAGAAAUUCAUGCACCUUUCUCUUCCUGCUACUGCGUUUCUUUAAAUCUUUGUCCUUUCUAUCCCUUUUAUGAUUAGACUUGCUAGAGUGGUUCCUUCCAUGAGCAAGUUUUCGUGCCCUUUCAGCAUCAAGUUGAGCUCUGUACUCUCGCAUCAUUCUAUCUGUAUCAGCUUCCAAUUCCCCCCUUUUCAUUUCAUCCUCCUUUUGCUUUCUCUUGAACUCUUCCCAGGUAACUGUGUGAGAAGUUUUAAGGCUGGCCAAACGAGCAGCAUGCCACUCUGGUGAAUGAAAAGAACCAUCCACCAUGCCGUCUUCGAUCUCUUCGGGCCCGGCAGAGCUCGAGCCAAGUCUCGCUCUCUGCAUAGCUUUGUAGGCUUGAUUUUUGCCCAUUUCGAAAUCUUAGAUAUACCCAGAUGAAAAGAAAAGGGAAGUAUCAAAUAUUGAUUCCGAGGGAAAAUUCUGACCCAGAAAGAAAAUCAAGGAUAAAUUUUGGAUAGAGAUUUGAUUAGGGUAUUAACGGUCCAAAACCCAUGUAAACGAAAGAGAAGAUAUAGCGCACAUAGAGAG